rnacentral:sRNA from 1 species
GCGGAGGAAAAGAAACCAACAGGGAUUGCCUUAGUAACGGCGAGUGAAGCGGCAACAGCUCAAAUUUGAAAGCUGGCCCUUUUAGGGUCCGCGUUGUAAUUUGUAGAGGAUGAUUCGGCGAGGGCUCCUGCCUAAGUCCCCUGGAACGGGGCGUCAUAGAGGGUGAGAAUCCCGUAUGCGGUAGGUUGCCUUAGCCAUGUGAAUCUCCUUCGACGAGUCGAGUUGUUUGGGAAUGCAGCUCUAAAUGGGAGGUAAAUUUCUUCUAAAGCUAAAUACUGGCCAGAGACCGAUAGCGCACAAGUAGAGUGAUCGAAAGAUGAAAAGCACUUUGGAAAGAGAGUUAAAAAGUACGUGAAAUUGUUGAAAGGGAAGCGCUUGCAACCAGACUUGUCCGCAGUUGCUCAGCCGGUCUCCUGACCGGCGUACUCUUCUGCGGCCAGGCCAGCAUCAGUUCGGGCGGUCGGAUAAAGGCCUCGGGAAUGUAGCUCCUCUCGGGGAGUGUUAUAGCCCGGGGUGGAAUGCGACCAGCCUGGACUGAGGAUCUCGCUUCGGCAAGGAUGCUGGCGUAAUGGUUGUAAGCGGCCCGUCUUGAAACACGGACCAAGGAGUCUAACAUCUAUGCGAGUGUUCGGGUGUCAAACCCGUACGCGUAAUGAAAGUGAACGGAGGUGGGAACCCGCAGGGUGCACCAUCGGCCGAUCCUGAUGUCUUCGGAUGGAUUUGAGCAAGAGCAUAGCUGUUGGGACCCGAAAGAUGGUGAACUAUGCCUGAAUAGGGUGAAGCCAGAGGAAACUCUGGUGGAGGCUCGCAGCGGUUCUGACGUGCAAAUCGAUCGUCAAAUUUGGGUAUAGGGGCGAAAGACUAAUCGAACCAUCUAGUAGCUGGUUCU